GAUGUAGCCUGUGCUCUGACCUUCCUUGGCCAGGUACAAGUGCUCCCUGCCAUUGUGAUCCUGUUGUGUUUUCCAGUUCCACUCGUGACUCCCGGAGCAUCCGCAGGUCUCCCGGAGAUGUUCCAGGAACCUCCUUUAGCCGCUGGUCCAGCGCCAGGGACUCUGCUAAUGGACUCCUCCAAGGAAAGUGACUCAGAAGAACACGUAGAAGCCAAGAAGCAGUUGAGAAGGCGUGUGGGGAAGGUGAGCAUCACACACAGGUCUGGCACUGAUCUCCUCAGCCUCCUUUCCCUGCUCCUUCCUGCCUGGACCAGACUGCCUGGGAACAUCCCUGGACAGUGCAACAUCUCUGAAGGUGAACUCUCCCUAGCACCUGGGACUGCUCCAUGCUUGCAGUGGGAACUCUGAGGUUGGCUGCUUUCCAGUGCUCCUGCUCUCCUGUUCGGGGUGACCUUCCAAGGAGGAACAGGCCAAGCUGGAUUGUUCUGUGGACAAAGGCCUGUUCCCGUGCUGUGGGACUCCGUGUGCUGCAGGAUGAUCAGCCACCUCACUGACCUCACUUCCUCCGCCUUCCUGAGGGCUUUAAAGCAUAACCCAACAACAGGGACAGCACAGUCCUGCUGUUUUAAUCACCACCCCGUUCCCCAGUACUCUGCUGAAGC
rnacentral:lncRNA from 1 species